rnacentral:lncRNA from 1 species
CUUGAAUGAGUGAUCCUCCUGCCUCAGCCUUCCAAGUGGCUGGGAUUACAAGUAUGCACCACCACGUCCACCUAAACAAGCACAUUCUUAAUGAAGUCUCUUUUUGUACUGGGCUUAGAAGUGAUUAGUAUGAAUGUAAGCAUCCUUGAAGACUCACCUGAAGAUUUCUGAUGAUGAUAAACCCAAGAAUGACUUUUCUUUCUGCUAACAGGUUGACUCAUGCUAGCCUCGUGGUGCCAUGUUUUUGUCACUUGUGUGAAGAGGUGUUUGAGGGAAGCCAUGAUGAGGCAUUCACUCUGUCCUCCUGCCCUGCAAACCAUCCUUUUGGUGAUUGACAGCUAUCAGGAGCUGGAUUUAUGAGUUCUAUGGCCCUGAGAGGACAAACCUCUGAAAAGUGAUGUCACCCGUGAACCUAUAAGCCAAGAACAAGAGUGAUAAUAAUGCAAAUGGUGAUGAUGACAGUUUCCAUUGUGAGCCACCUACUGGGUGCCAGGCUCUGACAAAGCUUGGCGUGGCACUGCCAUAGGCCCUUCUGGAGGAAACUGCUAGCAGACAAACUUGUCAGUCAAGAUGUGACAUGGGUGACACUAGCAGAGGGGCUGCAUGUGAGUACUGGGUAUAUUUAACAGUAUAAUUAAGACAAACAUGGAGUUAGGAUGACAGAAAAAAUGUAAAAAUAUUCCUAUUAUAGUUAAAUAAUUUAUUUAGGAACAGUCAGAUCAAGAAAGAAACGUGAAGUACAAUGUUGGGAUACAUCGAAAAUGUUAACCUAUAAAUACAACAUGUCAGAACAUAUGGGAUAUACAUAAAGCAAUUCUCAGAG